CAUCUGGUUGUAGCGCUCCCCGUCCUUCACCACAUCCCCGUGGUAGGCGGGCACGAAGGGCUUCAGCACAUCGGCCAUCAGCCGGUCCAGGCAGCGCUGCUCCGACUCACAGUGCUUCUUCAGAAUCCUGCCAUUGGCAGCGGCCUUGAAGCUCCCUGCAGAGCAAGGGGGGAGGAGGCCCUGGGUCCCCAGCCUUGGUCCUCGCGGCUCUGACCCACCUGCCAGGCACGCCCACCCCCCCAUCCCAGAGCCUGGGGAUGCUGAGGGGCUUGCCAAGCAGAGGGCCAAAGGUGUGCUUAUGUCCCUGCUGGUCGACCAGCAAGCCCUUCAAGGGGAGUGGGUGUGAGUCCCCAUCCUCCUCUCUGCCCUGACGUCCCAGACCCAGGCUCCUCCUCUGAAGAUGAAGGACCCCCGUGCUCGCUGCUGGAGGGUCUUGGGGAGGGGUCUGUGCCACAACCUAGCUGCCCCUCUCUGUGUGACUACUGCCCCCAACCCCACUGCCAACCUAGCUUCUUGGCCACAAAGGUGUCUCUGGCCUUAGGAGAGGAGACGCCCUGAUGGGACCAGGUUUAAUCCCAGGACAGGGAGAAUGGCUGCAAUUCAGGGGUCCAGGGAUUGGCCUGCCUGGGCAGUGCUCCUUCUGACCACACCCUCGGUAAGUGUCGAGGAUGGAUGUCCAUCCGCCUGCCUUGGGAUGGACCAAUGAGGUUGGGGACAGAGAGGAAAUGUCAGAGCCUGUGCUGGCCUAAAGUGACAAAGGCCAGGUCCACAGGCUGCCACUGAAGUGACGCCCCAUGGACGAGGCACCUCAAAGGGCCACCAUGAGUGGGCUAGACAGCUCGAGAUGUCCUCCUGCCCUGCCUCUGAGAGGCCACCUGGAAGCUCCCGGCCAGCCCAGGGCCUGGCCCAUCCACCCAGCGCUCCACACCGUCUUCCGUUGGUGGAGUGACCUGCCUGCCUCUCCCACCAGCUCCGGGCUCCUUUGGGGCAGACCCUGCAUCUCCACUCAUGCUGUCACCCCGAGGAGCCCGGCGAUGUGGCCACAACAGGCACUCAGUGAGGCACCUGGCUUUGCUUCUUUGUCCAGAGUGACUGAUGGCGGGCAAGCUAUAAAGACUGAUGGUUUCAUCUGUUUUAUUGAGCCACAUUGAAAGAGAGAUUGAGAGAAAGAAAGAGAUUGACAGAGACAGAGGGGGAGGGUGUGUGUCUGGUGGAGAGGUGGAGGGCACAUGUCCGUGUGCAUUUUCUCUUUUCUUUUUUUCUUUGCAUUUUAGGGCCACACCCACAGCACAUGGAAGUUCCCAAGCUAUGAGUCAAAUCGGAGCUGCAGCUGCCAGCCUACACCACAGCCACAGCAACAUCAUGUCUGCGACCUACAGGGCAGUUCAUGGCAAGGCCAGAUCCUUAACCCAUUGAGCGAGACCAGGAAUGGAACCCGUGUCCUCAUGGAUACUAGUUGGGUUUUUAACCUGCUGAGCCACAAUGGGAACCCCCUGUGUGCAUUUUCAAGGUGGUGUUAAAGGCUAUCUCUCAAGAGUGGUUGUGACUGAAGACCACCGAAUUUCUCGGUGGGCAUCCUCGAGAACAUCCAGGGCCAGGUCCACCCUCAACACACGCUGGACCCCUCCCCACCCCUGCCCCCCGAGAGCUGGACAUCCCGUCGGAAAGUCCGGGAGAGCAGCAGCUACCUGCAUGUCCGCCAGCUGGAUCCAGGGAUACUUCUUCUUGAAGGACAUGACGAAGGGAGACCAGUGCACCAUGUUUUUUAUUUUCCUCCAUGAUUUGCUCUAGAAACAAGCAAACGAAAGGUUCUCCGUUAGAAACAGAACUCCUACUUUAUGGUUAGGAUGCGUCCAAACAAGAAACCCCGCUGCCUGUCACCUGUGGCCACAGGACGAGAUGAGUCCACCUCCAUAGUGCAGGUGUCCUUGGUGGCCCCGAGGACCUCACCUGCAUCAGCUGCCUGGCACAUAUCUGCGGGUUUUACCCCAUUCUACAGACAGGCUGGGCAAAACACCCAGGAUCAAGGGGACAAGCAUCUGACAGGCUCUCAGACCAGAAGAAGGAGGGCAGUGUUCCCCCUCCAGGGCUGGCCCAUCCCCAUGCCGCUUCCCCGUCAGGGGACAAUUGAACCCCAUGGCCUUUCUCUGUGCCCCUUCCUCAUCUCUCUGGGGAGGGAUGGAUGGCGGGUCCACCACGCUCUUUGGACUGGUGGGCCCGUCUGGACUCUGGAAAACGGCCUCCCACAUCCCAGCAGCAAGGCCUCCUCAGAGGGAGGCAAGAGAGGCCUGAAUGCCCCAGGUGCAGCAGGUCAGCUCACGCUGUGUUCACAGAUGUGGUGGCAGCACAGGCACUGUUUGCUGGUGAGAGGUUUGAGACUUUUCUUUUUUGCCUUUUUAGAGCCUCACCCAUGGCAUAUGAAGUUCCCCAGGCUAGGGGUCUGAUCCAAGCUGCAGCCGCCAGCCUACACCACACAAAAAAAUAAACUCCCAUCUCUAUGACUACUUAAAAAAAUCCUUUAUAUUACCAGGAACAAACAUUUCUCUACAAGAAAAGAUCUCCUUCAGUUAACUUUAAUAAGAACCGGCUGUAGGCGUGAAGAUCAAGUGUCCCCAGAUGUGAGCCCCUGAAGCGGGUGAUGAGAAGUGAACUGAGCAGCAAUUCAAGUUCCUGAGAAGCGGAUCCCUGACCAGCAAAACCACAGACAGUAAACCCACAGGGCUUACUGGGGAGGAGAAGCUGGGAAUUCUGCAGAAGAGGGAGGCGAGGAGUGGUCCCUCCUGGACAGGGGACCCUAGAGAGGCAGGUCCUCGUUCUCUGUGCCACAGCGCCCGCCAGCAAUCAUCCUGAGGAUGCUGGACAGGCUCCAGCUGCUGGAGCCCAAGGUUAAAUCAAAGUUAAAUCCGUCUCCUUUGGUUUUUUUUUUUUUUUCCUCUCUCUCUGCUGAGACUCAGCUGCUUUCUGUCAUCAAGUUUUCAAGUCAAAAUCUGUUUAAGGAGGAUUCUCCUUCCCUAAGGAAACUGGUUACAUUUACUCCACCCCAGAAACCCCUGCUCUACCCCCAAGAGCUGGUCUAUUCUUAAGCGAGGGCAGCGCUCUGCCAGGCCAUGUGACAAAGGGCCGGCCUCACCAACAAUGGUAUUCUUUUGAGAUGCUUCUGAUGGAGAUCACCAAAGAAAGCUAAGGCAAGCCAGCGUUCCUUAUCUUAGCCCAAAGGCUGCACAAAUACUCAGGGCAGACAAUACAUGAGGGCAGCAACGGGAAAACUAGUUACACAAGGUGACCGACUGAGUGGUGGCUUGUCUCACUCCCGGGGAAAACAUUAAGGUGGAUCCAGAAGCAGAUGCAUAGCCGCUCGCCACCUACUGGACACGCCCCUACAGCAGAGCUCAGAGGGGACGAGGGUGCAGCAGGUGGAGGGUGGGGGGGGGCAGUGUUCUCCAUCUAGGGCUGACCCCAUCCCCAUGCCACCUCCCAUCAGGGGACAACUCAAGCCACACAGCCCUUCUUCAUGCCCCCUCUCAGGGCCUCAGUUUCCUCAUCUGUCUGGCGAGGGAUGGAUGGCUGGUCCACUGAACUCUUGGGACUGUAGACACUCCUGCACUCUGGAAAACAGCCUCCUGCAUCCCAACAUCAAAGGCCCCUAAGAGGAAGACAUGAGAGAGGCCAGGAUGCCCCAGGUGCAGCGUGUCAUCUCAUGCUGUGUUCGUAGAUGCAUAGGUGUGGAGGCAGCUGAGGACCCCAGGGGGCGUGUGUCCCGCUGCUGGGGGGCUUGGAGGAUGUGAAGAUCGCUGCCCACUGGGAUGCCAGCCAUCAGGAAAGCUGCAGCCUGUGGAGACCGCCUGGGGCCAACUUGAGGGAAACGAAGACCACUGCCGGCCCAGAGGCCUGGGAUGAGGACUGGGCACAGCUGGGGCCAGAUGUGCUGGGAAAAGGAGCUGGAAGCAGGGCUUGAUAAGGGUGAGUGGCUGAGAAGCCAGGACUCAGAGGAGUAGGGUGUGGGGGAGGCAGGCAGACCUGGGCCUGAGUCCUGGCUCCAUCCACCCCUCCCUUGGGACCUGGGACAAGCUCCUGACCCUCCUUGAGGCCCUAUUAUCUGACCUGUAAAAUGGGAAUAACACAUGGAUUCCUUUGAUCCCAUUAGAAGUUCAUGGGCACAGAAGGUGUUUGUGGAAGAGUCCCAUGGGUUUGAGCUCGAGGACGGGUGUCCCCGAAGUUACCCUCCUUUCCACCAGUCUGGAGCCAAAUGGAGGUGUUGCCAUGGUUACUAAAGAAGAAAGGCCACAGACGGAGCCUGUGGGGAUGGAGCUCUCUGAGACCCUCAGGGAUCCAGUGGCCAGGGGGCCUGGGACCAGAGAGGUAGGAGGGAACAGGCAUGAGUGAGAGUCUCAAGGCUCAACCCCGCUCUACAAAGAAGUGGGUGCUCCAGGGUUGGGGGAGUGGUCCUCUGAUGGCUCUGGGACCCAAGAGGCUUCCAAUAAGGCUGAGCUCUGAGUAAAGGAGGCACUGUUCUGUGCACGAGGAAGCAUGUCUUCAUCGUGAACGUGGGCCCAACACGGCCAAGGCCAGAGAGGCUUCCCCUUCCAAGGUGGCGUGUUCCACUGGUACGGGUUGCACCCCAGGGGACUUCUGGACUCUGCUGGCAGUGGCACUCUGGGGCUCUUCCCCAGGGUUUUUAAAUAGCAGCACCCAGGCGGUGCCUAACAUUGCUGCCAAGUGCUAAACAGAAAAGCAGAUGUGGUCCAGGCCCAGGAAAAAGGCUGCAGGGUGACCGCUGUGUGUCCCCCCCCCAACCCCCUGCCCUGGCCUGGCCCCCAGGAGCAGAGGGAAAGGGGAGGGCAGCAGGCGAUUACAGAGAACUGGUUUUCUUAUGAGGCCCAGGAGACUGCCGCACCCCUGCAGGAGCACCUCCUGCGGCAGAAGCCGCUUUCCAGGCGGUGGGUUCCAGCCUCUCUCCAAGCCCCUCGGCAGAGGAAGCCACAGUCCUCAGAAAUGGAUGCCAGGCCUCUCCCCCAACCUACGCCAGGCGACCGAGGCAAGAAAGGAGGGCAGCCUGAUCACCCGGAAGAUGGCUCACUCAGGGCUCCGGCCUCACCUCUUCUCUCCUGGGAGGUUCCCAAUGACCUAGUCAUGUCUCUGACAGCAGCCACAGCCCCGGAUCUCUGGCUUCUCAAGCCCAGCUUUGUCAAACGCACAGGCACAGCCCUCAAGUGCCUUGAAUGUGGCAGGGCCCGGCCACCCGGUCCCUCCCUCGGGCAGCGCGGGCUGCCUACUGACCUCACAGGCCCAUUCUUUCAUUGCCUCCCAAUCAGCAGGGCAUCUGUACACGCUUUGCUGACCCUUCCUGGAACGCCCCCAAGAUGCCACCCCUGACGGCCUCCCCAGCACCGGCCUGGUGUCUGCAUUCUCAUCACUGCUGGGGUCUCACUGUGGGACAGGAGCUGGACCAGGUGCUCUACGGCCUCCUUCCUCAUCUUCAAACAACCUGAUAGGUAGGAGUAUUCCCUCUGCAAGAUGAAGACUCUCACAUGUUGAGCUGCUUCCCCGAAGUUGUGUCAUGCUCCUCCCCACCAGCAGGUGCCAGCGUCUAGGGGAACCUCAAACCCAUUCACCAACUGCCAUGCCUAUCAACAAGCAGGGCCCCUUCCAGCCUGGAGCACGCUGGGCGGGGUGACAGGGACAGCAGAUUGGGCAGGAAGGACAAGGAUUUCUUCUAGGAAUUACCAUCGGGGCUCAGUGGUGAUGAACUUAAGAUCCAUGAAGAUGCGGGUUCGAUCCCUGGCCUUACUCAGUGGGUUAAGGAUGCAGUGUCGCUGGGGCUGUGGUAUAGGUGGGCAGCUGCAGCUCCAAUUUGACCCCUAGCCUGGGAACUUUCAUCUGCCCUAAAAAUACAAAAAAAAAAAAAAAAAAAAAAA
rnacentral:lncRNA from 9 species